rnacentral:rRNA from 1 species
CCUACGGGAGGCAGCAGUGAGGAAUAUUGGUCAAUGGACGAGAGUCUGAACCAGCCAAGUAGCGUGAAGGAUGACUGCCCUAUGGGUUGUAAACUUCUUUUAUAUGGGAAUAAAACGUUCCACGUGUGGGAUUUUGUAUGUACCAUAUGAAUAAGGAUCGGCUAACUCCGUGCCAGCAGCCGCGGUAAUACGGAGGAUCCGAGCGUUAUCCGGAUUUAUUGGGUUUAAAGGGAGCGUAGGUGGGUUGUUAAGUCAGUUGUGAAAGUUUGCGGCUCAACCGUAAAAUUGCAGUUGAAACUGGCAGUCUUGAGUACAGUAGAGGUGGGCGGAAUUCGUGGUGUAGCGGUGAAAUGCUUAGAUAUCACGAAGAACUCCGAUUGCGAAGGCAGUUCACUGAACUGCAACUGACACUGAGGCUCGAAAGUGUGGGUAUCAAACAGGAUUAGAUACCCUUGUAGUC